UACAUUUGCAGCGAAUCUGGUUGGCGCUGCUGCGCCAUGAAAAGGGAAGCCGGUGUAAAUCCGGCGCUAUCCCCGUAGCUGUAAGGUGCCGGAUCCUUUUUAACAGGGGUCCUGAAACGCUUUAAUAACGGCCACUAUGGCGCAGGGCGCCAUGGGAAGGCAUUAAAGCAGGCCCGAGCCAGAAGACCUGCCAGGUUCUAUUAUUCAUC
rnacentral:ncRNA from 2 species